AAUUAAAACUUUCAACAACGGAUCUCUUGGUUCUCCCAUCGAUGAAGAACGCAGCGAAAUGCGAUAAGUAGUGUGAAUUGCAGAAUUCAGUGAAUCAUCGAAUCUUUGAACGCACAUUGCGCCCUCUGGAACUCCGGGGGGCAUGCCUGUUCGAGCGUCACGAAAAGUAGGGUGGUUAGCGCCCGGUCUUGGGUCUGAGGGACCGCUCACGUAGUGUCCCUCUGCCUGAAAUAAAGUGGCGGAAGUCCUGGUGCGGCAGGAGCGUGAUGAAAACUUCAAACGUGAUGGCCAGCCGGAUGUUUCAGCCAAAACCCCCCCAGCAGGGAGAUCAUUCUCCCCCCUUUUGACCUCGGAUCAGGUAGGGAUACCCGCUGAACUUAAGCAUAUCAAUAAGCGGAGGAAAAGAAACCAACAGGGAUUGCCUCAGUAACUGCGAGUGAAGCGGCAAAAGCUCAAAUUUGAAAUCUGCGUCCUUUGGGACGUCGAGUUGUAAUUUUUAGAUACGUUUUCGACCAGACAGGCCUGCCUUAAGUCCCUUGGAACAGGGCGUCACAGAGGGUGAGAAUCCCGUGAACGGUAGGCCUCGAGGCAGAAGAUACGUUAUUCGACGAGUCGAGUUGUUUGGGAAUGCAGCUCAAAAUGGGUGGUAAAUUUCAUCUAAAGCUAAAUAUAGGGGAGAGACCGAUAGCGCACAAGUAGAGUGAUCGAAAGAUGAAAAGCACUUUGAAAAGAGAGUUAAAANUACGUGAAAUUGNUGAAAGGGAAGCGCUUG
rnacentral:rRNA from 1 species